rnacentral:rRNA from 1 species
AUUGAACGUUGGCGGCAGGCUUAAUACAUGCAAGUCGAACGAGAAAGUACCUUCGGGUGCGAGUACAGUGGCGGACGGGUGAGUAACGCGUAGGAAUCUACCUUGUAGUGGGGGACAACUUGGGGAAACUCAAGCUAAUACCGCAUAAUACCUAAGGGUGAAAGUGGGGGAUCUUCGGACCUCACGCUAUUAGAGGAGCCUGCGUUGGAUUAGCUAGUUGGUGGGGUAAAGGCCUACCAAGGCGACGAUCCAUAGCUGUUCUGAGAGGAAGAUCAGCCACACUGGAACUGAGACACGGUCCAGACUCCUACGGGAGGCAGCAGUAGGGAAUCUUGGGCAAUGGGCGCAAGCCUGACCCAGCCAUGCCGCGUGUGUGAAGAAGGCCUUAGGGUUGUAAAGCACUUUCAGUCGUGAAGAAAUACUUAUAGUUAAUAGCUAUGAGUCUUGACGUUAACGACAGAAGAAGAUCCGGCUAACUCCG